rnacentral:rRNA from 1 species
AGCUCGAAUAGCGUAUAUUAAAUUUGUUGCGGUUAAAAAGCUCGUAGUUGGAUCUCAGCAGCCAGGGGGUGGUGCGCUUUUGGCGUUUUCACUGCCCCAUUUGGCUGUGAUCUUUUUGGCAGAGGUCACUAGGUGCUCUUAAUCGAGUGUCUCGCGAUGCUGUCAGGUUUACUUUGAAAAAAUUAGAGUGCUCCAAGCAGGCUUCACACGCUUGAAUAUUUGUGCAUGGAAUAAUGGAAUAGGAUGUCAUUUCUAUUUAGUUGGUUUUCAGAAAUUGACAUAAUGAUUAACAGGGACAGUCGGGGGCAUUGGUAUUCAGACGACAGAGGUGAAAUUCUUGGACCGUCUGAAGACCGACUACUGCGAAAGCAUUUGCCAAGAAUGUUUUCAUUAAUCAAGA